GAGUUUGAUCGUGGCUCAGAGCGAACGCUGGCGGCAGGCUUAACACAUGCAAGUCGAGCGCCCGUAGCAAUACGGGAGCGGCAGACGGGAGAGUAACACGUGGGAACGUGCCUUUUGGUUCGGAACAACCCAGGGAAACUUGGGCUAAUACCGGAUAAGCCCUUACGGGGAAAGAUUUAUCGCCAAAAGAUCGGCCCGCGUCUGAUUAGCUAGUUGGUGGGGUAAUGGCCCACCAAGGCGACGAUCAGUAGCUGGUCUGAGAGGAUGGUCAGCCUCACUGGGACUGAGACACGGCCCAGACUCCUACGGGAGGCAGCAGUGGGGAAUAUUGGACAAUGGGCGCAAGCCUGAUCCAGCCAUGCCGCGUGGGUGAUGAAGGCCUUAGGGUUGUAAAGCCCUUUCGGCGGGGAAGAUAAUGACGGUACCGCAGAAGAAGCCCGGCUAACUUCGUGCCAGCCGCCGCAGUAAC
rnacentral:rRNA from 1 species